UACGUAGGGUGCGAGCGUUAAUCGGAAUUACUGGGCGUAAAGCGUGCGUAGACGGUUGCGUAAGUCAGAUGUGAAAUCCCCGGGCUUAACCUGGGAACUGCAUUUGUGACUGCAUCGCUGGAGUGCGGCAGAGGGGGAUGGAAUUCCGCGUGUAGCAGUGAAAUGCGUAGAUAUGCGGAGGAACACCGAUGGCGAAGGCAAUCCCCUGGGCCUGCACUGACGCUCAUGCACGAAAGCGUGGGGAGCAAACAGG
rnacentral:rRNA from 1 species